UCUGAAGGCAAUGGGGAGAACAAAGAGUGCCCAUGGAGAACUGAUAUACAGGGAUGUCAGCUGCUUGUGCACAACAACACAAAAUCUGAACUGUGGGUGCUUUAAUGCAAAGCAUUUCAAGUUCCACAUUCAGCAGACAGCUCCCAUGGCUCCCACAAUGACAGAAGUUCAGUGGCCUUGAAGUUGUUGGCAAAUGGUGUGUGCUGAAGUAUGAUGGUGAUCUAUACCCUGGUGUCAUCACAGAUACAAGUGAAACACAUAUUGAGGUCCGUUGCAUGCAAAAGAUUGGAUUCAACAGGUUUUUCUGGCCAGCCCAUGAAGACAUCCUUUGGUACUUGUUUGAGGACAUUGUGUGUAUCAUCCCUCCCCCGAGGCCAGUCACAGGUCGUCACAUGGAAAUUGACAGAGAAAUCUGGGCCAAACUGCAGAAGUCUUCUUAGAAAGGGAGCCAGAAGCACCCACGGAUGCUGACGGAAAGGACAUAGUUCCACCACAUUCUCAAUCUUUGUUCUCUCUGUUUCUCCCUCUUUCUCUUCUUCUCUUUCCAUCUUGAUUGUGAUGGACUACAUGGACAUAACACAUUCCUUCAGAAAUCUCUCUCUCUCACACACAGGCUAUGUACACACAUGCACACACACAAACGCACACAGAGUGUCUGGAUAUUCAUUCCUGUUACGCACUGUUC